rnacentral:lncRNA from 1 species
GUAAGCACAAAGCCUUAAGGGCGCCGUUUGCCCCAAGUCAAGGUGCCCACGCUUUCUUGCUCAGGUGCACUCCAGGCACCAGGGAAUCUUAGGGCCGGGUCUGGAAGGAUGACAUCACUAGUUGACAUUUUCUCCUACUUUUUUCUGACCACUGUGCUAUAUCAGGGUUUCAAGUGCUUAGAAAAACUAAUUGUAGCACCGAUUUGCAUCUCGUUUGCUGUCUGUGAAGAACGCCAGUGUGAGGUGAGGUAAUCUAUAUAGUGUAGUAGGUAGUAUCCCAAUUUUUCGAAUGAACCUCCUGGAAUUUUAAGAGGCUAAACAUGGCUCAAGUAAUUAAGUUAUAGAGUUUAAUGGAAUUGAUAUUUUCUGACUCCACUCAGCCCACAUAGAAAGCAGAAUAUUACAUUCCUUCCUCCUCUAGUUGAUAACUGAGAUGGAGAAAUGUCAUUUUGGAAGACCUCUGUGAAAACUGAUGCGCCAUGAAGGCAUUAUAGAGGACUCUAAAGAUUCACACAAGACUCUACAGUGAGCUGUAGACCUUCGACUAGAUCUUUCAGCUAUUCAACGCACAGACAGCCCUUUGCACCCAUCCACACCUGGCCCUGAAGGUGGCCAUUCACCCUGCCUUGGAGCAGCUGCCUAUAGACUGAAACUUCUGCAAACUGUGAGCUAAAAUAAACUUUUCUCCUUUAACUUGUGGAUAUCAGGUAUUUUGUCCCAGCAAUGAAAAAGCAACUAAGACGCUGCCAAACUGUUUUCCAGAGUAUAUAAAACCAUUUUAUAUUCUCAUCAGCAAUGACUGAUAUAGUUUCUUCAUAUCCUCACCAGCUUUUUAUGUUUUCACUAUUUUUAAUUUUAGCCAUUCUGAUAGUUGUGUAAUAAUAGCUCAUGGCUGUUUUAAUUUGCAUUUCUCUAAUUUUUAACAUCUUUUCAUGGGAUCAGUUGCUGUCACUAUAUCCUCUUUAGUGCAGUACCUGUUCACAUAUUUGGCCUAUUUUCUAGUUGUAUUAUUUGGUUUUAUGCUAUUGAGAUUCUUUUUCUUUUUCAGUGCUGGAGGUUGAACCCAGAGCCUUGCACAUGCUAGAUAAAGCACUCUAUCACUGAGGCAUAUCCCUAGCCCUAUCAUUCUUUAUAAAUUCUUGCUACCAGUCCUGUAUCAAAUAUGUGGUUUGAAAAUAUUUUCUCCAGAUCGCUACAUUGUUUUCUAAUUUUCAUAACAG